UACAGAGGUCUCAAGCGUUGUUCGGAUUCACUGGGCGUAAAGGGCGCGUAGGCGGCGCGGAUAGUCGGCGGUGAAAGCCCGGAGCUCAACUCCGGGUCGGCCGUCGAUACUUCCGGGCUUGAGCACUGUAGAGGCAGAUGGAAUUCCGGGUGUAGCGGUGGAAUGCGUAGAGAUCCGGAAGAACACCGGUGGCGAAGGCGGUCUGCUGGGCAGUUGCUGACGCUGAUGCGCGACAGCGUGGGGAGCAACAGG
rnacentral:rRNA from 1 species